CAGGUCCUGAAAUGGUGCUGCAGACUUCUGCUUGUGGUUUGCGGCUGCAACUUGGAGCCCAGGUUUGGCUUCCAGAAUAUCUGAAUUGACAGAACUGGAAACCGGAAGACUGUGGAACAAUAUUUACCAACAUUGAAAGAAAAGGAUUAUGAUCUAAGAGUUCUAUACCCAGUCAAGAUAAUGAUCAUCUCUCAGAGAAUUUUGGGACAUAAAAGCACCAGUUUAAAAGCAUCAAUUGUACAAGUGCCAGAUGGAGAAGACCUUGGCUGAAUGCAGUUCGCUGGUAAUAAGAUCCAUCAGAGAUGACAUGAGGACAUGGCCUAUCCUGAUUUGGGUGAACAGACUGGUUUACCGAGCUAGUAAACAUCCAAGGGUGGCUGAGAUAACCUAAUAAGGUGGCACAUGCUUUGAAUGUUCUCUGGGGCUACCCAAGCAUGAGGAGUGGUAACUUUCUGCCCAUAUUCUCUGAACCUGCAUCAGAACCUUGGAGACAUGAGGCCAAGGAGAGGCACAGUGACAGAGGAGCACCGCCAGGACCUGACAAAGUCAACAAAGGCCCUGGUGCUUGCCUUAUGGGUACCAAGGCUGGCAUAUGAAAAAAUCGGCAGGACUGCCCACAUUCUGGACCCAUCUAGGAAUUAUCCAGAAAUCCUAGGUUUGAGAUGUCUGCUUCAGUCAUUGGAAAAGCUUCCUCCCUUCUGUGGCAUAAGGUCCCAGUGUUCCCAGUUUUCUUGAGGUAGCUGGGUUAGAGGAAAGACUAUGGCUUGCGUCUCAGAGACUAUGGAGCCAAGGUCUCUGCUAAGCUGCCAGUGUUAUUACUAAAACAAUGCCAUUCCAUCCCAGGCAGCCUCUCUUCAUGGAAUUGCAUUCAACAAACUUUAUAAAGUUCGAAGUCCUCAAAUGUAGCACAAAGAAAUGGGACAAAAGGCCUCUAAGCUUCCUUUCACUUUGAUUUUCUAGGAUUCUAUGUUGAACGAAGCUCAUGGCAUUAUCUGGCACAGUUUCCAUCCACAAACUGCCACUGGCACAGCCCAGACAGAUCUCUGGCUGGCAGCCAUAAAUUCGGGUGGCUGAACCUGCUGGGAAAU